GACGAACGCUGGCGGCGUGCUUAACACAUGCAAGUCGAGCGGAAAGGCCCUUCUUGGUACUCGAGCGGCGAACGGGUGAGUAACACGUGAGUAACCUGCCCCAGACUUUGUGAUAACCCUCGGAGACGGGGUCUAAUACCGACUACGACACAGCAUCGCGUAGGGUCUGUGUGGGAAGGUUUUCGGUUGGUGAUGGGCUCGCGGCCUAUCAGCUUGUUUGUGGGGUGAUGGCUUACCAAGGCGACGACGGGUAGCCGGCCUGAGAGGGGGACCGGCCACACUGGGACUGAGACACGGCACAGACUCCUACGGGAGGCAGCAGUGGGGAAUAUUGCACAAUGGGCGGAAGUCUGAUGCAGCGACGCCGCGUGAGGGAUGACGGCUUUCGUGUUGUAAACCUCUUUCAGCAGGGACGACGCGUAAGUGACGGUACCUGCAGAAGAAGCGCCGGCCAACUACGUG
rnacentral:rRNA from 1 species